AUGCCUGAGUUGUUGUACGCUAAAAGAUAAGGCACCGCUUUAAACAAUUGACUAAUUCUUUCUGACUUAGCACAGAGGCCUGAUGAUAUCACUGAUAUUUUUGGUUCUUGAUUAGACCGAGUUUCAACAGCUUUGCAGCCGCGUGCUCAUGGCGAAAUCAGUAAAAGGUGAAGAACGCAAAGAAAAGGAUCAGCAACUGAUACCAGGGUGCUGGAGAGCAAGGAUGGAGAUUACAGGAUUAGUUUUAAGACGAAAUAAUUCUCAUAUCUGCUUUUUGUAGGAGUGGUCUUAAAAGUAAUUGAAAAGAUCAGUUUCACCCUUGAAAGUGUAAAUCGAUAAUUUUUUGUGGAAAACUACUUUCAAAUUGUAAGACAUACACAAGCCUCACCUUUUUUCGUAAAUCGCAACUGACUUUCUCUUUAUACAACGAUUAGUUGUUACGAAGCUUGAUGUCAACUUCGAGAACUUCGACUUCAAACACAUGAAGCACAACUUGGCUUUCAGACGUCACGGAAGCAGAUUCACGCAGAGAACGCAAAGAAUUAUUUCAAGGAGAUCUGCAUUGUUCUGUGGAUUCUUCUCCCAACACACGUUGUACAAAGCAUGCUUAUGCUACCAGCUCCAAUAAGGAUUGCUAGGAGGAAUGUAUGAUGAACUUACUGCAGGAAAAUGAUAGAAGUCUGAAGGAUCGUGCCGUAAAUAUCCAAAAUUAUUGACCGAAGCGCCAUGACAAGGCUGGCCAUCUCGCACUAAGACAGGCACAGGAACAGUUCUUGGGGUGAACAAUGGAGGUCCUUCAUUCAUAACUCCUUUUUCAAAACUCUGUUUCUUGUAUUUAUAUCGAUGAUUCUGAAACCAAAUUUUCACCUGCGUCGGGCUUAAAUUGAUUAUUCUCGCGAGCUGUUCGCGCUCCGGCGCGGAGAGGUACCUUUGUUGACGAAACCUUCUUUCGAGUUCAUAAGUUUGCGCCUUGGUGAACAGAACUCUUCGUUUCCGCUUUUUUGGCGGAUCGUUCAAGUCAUCUGGCGUUUCCUCUCGCUCAGAUAUUUCUUGGGAGCCCGCUGAGGAUGUCGAAGGCCUUUCUGUCGGGCUCGGAUGUGGAUCUGUUACGGCGGAAAAACAAAAAAUUUCAUUAAUGUUUCGCCUAUGUAACGAUAUCUACGACACAACUAAAGAGCUGCGAAGUUGUAAGAAAUUAGGUGAACUGUAAGCCACAGUAAUUAGCCUGUUGUCCCUUACACGAGGCACAUAAAGAAAACAACCUUCAAAACUAGAAGCAAUAUGGCAUUCACUCAAUUAAAAUUUGAAAUUGCA